CUACCAUCAUACCCUACCCCCAGCGGCCGGCAGAUCGGCGUACUGGGUUUGCUUCUUCGCUUAGGCUUCUAGGAAUUUACUGCUAAUCUUUAGUUUUCUUGCAUUAACUAUUUGAGCACAUGGUACAGUAGCAGCAUGGCUGAUGCCUGCUAUUUCAUCGCUGGAACAUACUUCAUUCAUUGAUUUACUAGAGUAGAUUUGAUUGGCACUGUAUUUGAUCACAUGCUCUGCUUAGGCAAUACAUGUUGUUCAGCCAGCAUCUCUAAGAUUGGUUAUGUUGGAAACAAUUUAAUGCCAGUAUUGAUAUUCCAUUCACUAAACUAACAGAGAUCCAAACUGCAGGUUGCAGAAGGUGAUGUACCAAUAGUUGCAUCACAUGGCUUAGUCCUGUACAUGAGAAUUGCUUGAUCAGAUAUUCAGAUUCAGUCUUAUCUUCAUAGUUUUUCUAAUUGUUCGAUCUUGUGCAGAGCUGAAAUUGAAUUGUACAAGGAGCUUGAACCAUCGACUCGCUUACUGAUCUUGAAAGCAAUAUGCGACAUACGUGUCGUGGUCCGUGCUAUUGCCAUCCUAGGGAGGCAAUGAAGUUUUUCAAAGUGCCAAUCUUUUAAAAUGUGCAUUGCGGUAGAGAACUGUUACACCAUUCUGAUGUUGUAUGUCUCAAUUGUGUUUUGUGUUAAGUAUAUCAAUCCUAACUUGGACUGACAGUUUGAACCGAGUUCCAUUAUGUUGAUUCAGAUUGUUAGAAAGCUUAUUUCACUAUGCUGAGAAGCGAUACAGGGGCAUAAAGCAAGCGAGCAGGUGUGUGCAGCGACCUGCCACUGCACUAAUAGCCUUGAGAGAGCACCGGGGCUGGCUCGACAGGGCAUGCCGCCUGCCGGUGGACACCUGGAUGUGCGCGCCGGAGAUGGACCCGCUUCGUUGCCUCUGCAGCCUAGACAGAGCUCCGCCAGUGCUGAGACGUGCUCCCGUCGUUGUUGGCUGUCGAAUUUGCAAUGCAAUCCAUCCCUAUGUCGAUGUCUUAACCACUUCGUACUUCGGCACAAUCCGCAGAACAUAGCAGCUGCCGCAAUUUACCCAUUGAUUUCUUGGAGUGAUCCAAACCUAGGAAAGCCUGCUACUUGUGCAAACAACAGGAUGUAAGCAAUGGAGAAACUCGUGCAGAUGAUGAUUGAAGCAUUCUUCACGAAUUUUCCAACCUAAACUGGCUACAGAGUUGGGGAAAAGACGAGUCUAGGCUCUUGAUGAACACAUCUUCUUUACCAGAUGACUAACAGUUGGCACCUCUAUACAUUACAUCAGGCCAACGCUACAAAGCCCCUGUUUGGGAAUAUUUGACUCAGAGCUUUUGCUGAAUGGUAUUGUCGUCCAGAAGCUAGAGUUCGAAAGGUAUGUCCUGGUGCUCCUCACUUUCUGGGAUGAUCAAUCUCCUAUUAUACAUGGCGACGUACACAGGACAAGCCCAAGCUAGCUGAUCAAAAGGCACACAAUCUGUGUAUGCAGCAAGAGUUGUUGGCGGCUAAAAUCAUGAAGCAACGGACUAACAAAUUGUGGCCAGCAUACACGCAGGCGAAGAUAGCCAAUAUUAUUUGAAAUUAUCAGGCAGUGGCCCUCUUCAAGUCCUACUUUGGUGGAACUUUUGAUCAAGAUGCUAUCAGGAAUAACUUGGUGCUAAUAUACAAACUUCUUGAUGUGCAGAGAUUAUGGACUUUGGUUAUCCUUAGAAUCUCUCACCUAAAUUUUUGAAGUUAUACAUAACCCAGGAACAUGUACGGUCGCCAUUUUCCUCCAAGCCUUCAGAUAAGCCUGUUCUAAAUGCGACCCUGCAAAUUAUCGGUGUUGUUGGUUGGAGAAGAGAUGGUAUUGUGUACAAGAAGAAUGAGGGUCAAACUUUUGAUUUUGGCACUUAGUAAACUACAUCUUGUGCAUUGGAGGAGGUAGCCCCUGGACUGGUGAAGACGUGAAGGGCGACAUGAGGAGGCUUGCGGUGGUUCCAGGAGCAUCUCUUCGACAAGUAGCAGUGCACUCCGUUGGACAGCUACCAACCGAGACGGCCGGCUGCCUGACAAGGACACCAUUUCUGGUCUUACAGUCCUGGAGCGGUGAGCAUCUGAGCUUCCAUCACCGAUCUGAAUAACAAACUUGCGGCGCUCCUUAGCGUCACUGAUUGAAACAUUAGCAACAAAAAUACUUGCUUCAGGCUUAAGGAGUAAAGAACGGCAAGCAUGGAUGACAGAGGGACAACACCUGCUCCAAAUUUGAAAAAUCCAGGAGGUUUACAACAGGCAUGCAAGGUCCUCGAAAAGUUCAAGUAAGUGCUAUACGUGACGUAGAGGAGAAUGCUAUAUAGGACAUGCACAUGUAGUUGCUGCUUCUAAAGAACGGCACAAGUUUGGACCAAAUGCUGGGAGAAUACAAAAGGUAUAAUUGCAUAAAGUUUACUACUGUAAUAGAUCCAGGUUGCAGUGAUGAAGAGGACAAUGAUGUGUAGGACAUAGUGGUCGUUACUUCUAUAGAUUCAGAAGGAUGCAGGUUCGGAUCAAUUGUCAAGAUGAUACAAAAGGUGUUGCACAAAUUUUACAUACUACGUUGGGUGAUUUGUUUGGCAUUCAUUCUCUGUUAUGCCUGAUGCAUGUGUCUUAAGCCUACUAAUAACUUUUUGGAUCAAUGGUAAAUCUACUGAACAAACUCCUGUCUUAUCCCUAUUGUGUGCCUUAAGGUUAAUCUAUUCAUGGUUAGUUUUCCUUACUGUACAAAUGUCUUCUCUUUUUUGUAUAUUUUCUCUUCUCUCUCCUUUACGGUAAUAUAGACCGUGCUCACAUUGUUGCAGCUUGCAAUUAGUUCUAGAUUUGUUCAUGAGUGUCAUUCGAGGUCAGAGUAAAUAUUUUGGCAGAGUAAACAAUGAUGGAAGUGUCAUACAAUUUCGUCUUAUAUAGCUAUAACAAUUUUGAUACAUAUUUUUAUCUGAUUAACUUGCACUUCUGCACCACCAUAACAAGCGGUGGAGAUCUGCCUCUUUGUUUUCAAUUAAUGUGAGAACUUCUAGCCUUCUAGAACAAGAGUGGUAGCUUCUUUAACUUUGUGUUGUAACAAAUAUUGUAUAUGGUCAAUCCAGGAUGAUCUACUUAUUAACUUUGUUAAUCUGGUUACAGUCAAUCUAGGGGGUGCUUCUUUCGCUUCGGUAUUUAUCAGUAAUAUUGGUAGUUCUCUGUAGUACUCUGUAUUAGUUUUUACCUCUUUGUCCUUCAUGAUUGCUUAGUUGCAUUGUUUUUGCUUCUGACUAUACUGCUCUGCUACAGAUGAUAACGCCAUUUGAUAAACGUUUGGAAAUUCAAGCCUGGUCUUGUUCCGCAACAUGUGACCUUCUACUUCUUAAUGGACUUUAAGUUUUAGUCACCCUUAUAUCGUUAGGUAAUAUAACAAGGUUAUUGUUUAGAUCAUAUAAUCAAGCAUGUCUGCUUAUCGAAAAGUUAAGCUUUCCCACCUUGCACGCAACUGCUACCAUUAUUGCUUAGAAGAGGCAACUUAGUGAUACAAUCUCUUGACUAUAAGGCAGUUAGUGAUUGCCAUGUUUGUUGAAUUAAAGUUUCACCUGUCAGAUCAGUUUACACACAUUGAAUUUUACUUAGUGUGCCUCUAAGGUUUUACCUUCUACAAAGCUAUAGCACCUACAGGUGAUCCGCUUUUUCUUCUUCUAGAUCCCCCUGUGUGUGUAUAAUCUUCUUCUAGAUCCCCCUGUGUGUGUGUAUAAUCGACAGACAUUGUCCUUCUAAUUUCUUUUUCCAGUAGAUGAUUGUGGACAAAGUUUCCAAUCCAUGCCUUUUUGCUAUACUAAUUUUUUUGGGUGAUGCAGCAUAAGUUAUAUAAUUGCUGCACUUAAGUAACUGAUUUAUCUGGCAAUAGAUUGUCACAAUGAUAGCUCUAACCUUUGUGCCAACAGUCUGAAAAUUGUAGCAUUAUGCUUUAAUAUUUUUUAAUGUUCUUUAGGUGGUUGUUUCUCAGAUGUAGUACACUUGGCAUAGCUUUUCAGAAGACAACAGUUCAGUAGGAAGCAAGUGAAUGAAACAUUUUCGUUGUUUUCUACUCCAUAGUUAUGUACAAACACACAAGUGGUGCUUAAACAUUUUGUUGCUAUUUAUCCUUUCAUGAGCCGGAUGUGCCAUUGACGGCGGUGGCAAGCCUGGAUUAGUUGGAUUCAGAAGGUGGAUUGAAUUA